UGAUGUCAAGUCAGCAUGGCCUUUAUAUCCUGGGCUACACACACGCUACAAUGGCCAACACAAUAGGUUGCUAAGCCGCGAGGUGGCGCCAAUCCAUAAAGUUGGUCUCAGUUCAGAUUGUAGGCUGCAACCCGCCUGCAUGAAGAUGGAGUUGCUAGUAACCGCAGGUCAGCUAUACUGCGGUGAAUACGUUCCCGGGGCUU
rnacentral:rRNA from 1 species